rnacentral:rRNA from 1 species
AUUGAACGCUAGCGGGAUGCCUUACACAUGCAAGUCGAACGGAGUGGCGAACGGGUGAGUAAUGUAUCGGAACGUGCCCAUUAGCGGGGGAUACCUACGCUAAAGCGUAGCUAAUACCGCAUACUCUUGGAGCGGCCGAUAUCGGAUUAGCUAGUUGGUGGGGUACCGGCUCACCAAGGCGACGAUCCGUAGCUGGUUUGAGAGGACGACCAGCCACACUGGGAGUGAGACACGGCCCAGACUCCUAAGGGAGGCAGAAGUGGGGAAUGUGGGACAAUGGGGGAAACCCUGAUCCAGCCAUCCCGCGUGGGCGAUGAGGGCCUUCGGGUUGUAAAGCACUUUUGGCAGGAAAGCGGUACCUGCAGAAUAAGCACCGGCUAACUACGUGCCAGCAGCCGCGGUAAUUC